GACGAACGCUGGCGGCGUGCUUAACACAUGCAAGUCGAACGGAAAGGCCCUGCUUGCAGGGUACUCGAGUGGCGAACGGGUGAGUAACACGUGGGUGAUCUGCCCUGCACUUCGGGAUAAGCCUGGGAAGCUGGGUCUAAUACCGGAUAGGAGCCAUUUUUAGUGUGAUGGUUGGAAAGUUUUUUCGGUGUAGGAUGAGCUCGCGGCCUAUCAGCUUGUUGGUGGGGUAAUGGCCUACCAAGGCGGCGACGGGUAGCCGGCCUGAGAGGGUGGACGGCCACAUUGGGACUGAGAUACGGCCCAGACUCCUACGGGAGGCAGCAGUGGGGAAUAUUGCACAAUGGGCGCAAGCCUGAUGCAGCGACGCCGCGUGGGGGAUGACGGCCUUCGGGUUGUAAACUCCUUUCGCUAGGGACGAAGCUUUUUGUGACGGUACCUAGAGAAGAAGCACCGGCUAACUACGUG
rnacentral:rRNA from 1 species